CCCAAUGAUCUAGGUUGAGUGAACGAAGGAUGUGCCCCGAUACAUACAAUGUUCAGGUUGGCCGAGUUAUCGAUCCUGAUGAUCUACAAACAGGUGCAGCUAUUUCAGUUUACCGGUCCCUUGAUUAGCGUCUCUAGCAUGUCUUCUGAUAUUCGCCUGGAUCUAAAGCCAAACAUGAAAAGAAGAAAGGCAGAAAGAUUUUUCACCUAGAUUCAUCUCGUGUUAACAGGAAAUCUCUCCUCUCCUUCCCUUCUACAGGCGAGUAUAUCACGAUGAUUCCCAACUUGCUUUUGCUUCGGACAAAGUCGUGCCAAUGUUGUGGCUACUCACAAGAACAUUUUGCCGAUCAGUCCAGCGCCUGUUGACAAAACGUACUGUAUAAGUGCGUGCAUCUGCUAAUCAGUUGUAAGGGGAGAUGAUGAUUGCAAGAACUUUUUAC
rnacentral:lncRNA from 1 species